AAAUAAACUGACUGAUUAAUGUGAAAUUCAGCACUUUAGACAAGAAUUUGUGCAAAGUCAAAGGAAAACCUGGACCCUAAAAAAAAAAUUAUAGAGAGGCUCUGAUACUAAAGCAUGCAGAUCCCCUACUCUCCUGGCCAAGGUGACAACAAUCAUGAAAGCCACUUUCAUAGAAGGUGUAACGGAGAACAAGGUGACUCAAAGGGGCAACUCAUCAACUUUGCUAGAACUAAGUUUAAACUCCACUGUGGAAGUAGGUUAUGACCCUAUGGGUAUAACCUGAGCAAACCCUUUAGAAAUCUGAUGGGCAUCGGGUUAGAAAAAAUUGAUUGGUUAUCCACGGGAGAGUGGAAAGCAGCCAAAUCGACUUUGAUGGAACUAAGAGCUAACCCUUGUUGUUUCAGAAACAAAAGAUAGUCCAAGAUACAGCAAAUUGGAGCUUGAGCUGGGGAGACCUCUUUAUAAUGGAUCAAAUGGAGAAUAUCUUUAAUUUAGCAAGGUUGUUGCCAUGAAGCAUCCAUGCUGUCAGGUGGAGGUCCUGAAGGCUGGGAUGAAGGAGGUGGCCAUGGUCCUGGGAUAUCACUGCAACAUCUCUUGGGAAUAGCAGCAGACGUCUGACUGAUUGGUUUUUGACUCCUCUAACCCCUGUGUGGAUAGGGCCAUGCUGGGGCUAUUAGAAUAAGGUCUAUUUGGGGAGUCCCCCCACUACUAGAAAAUGAACCUUGACACAUACGUCUGAAGAGAUUACUCAUGGUGACCUGAAAACUAUCUGCUCAGGUGGUCUGCCAGUGUUUUGCACUCCCAGAAGGCAUCAGGACAAAUUUUUCAGUAUUAAGAGCCCCUCUGCAUUGAAAGUGGACUGAAUAGAGGCUAUGCUGGAAAAUACCCGAGACUUGGACUGGCCUCUCAAUAGACAGUCAUGCAGGUUCUGGGAACACAGCAAAAAAGGCUGAAACCAUUGGGACUGCUGUGGGCAGAACAGCUUUCUUAUUGCUGCUGGUGUAUAAAUUCCCAGAGAUUUAAGGAUUCAAGGGUGAUCCUUAAGACUAUGAACCUGCUCAUCUAGCUUAUUGCAAAAGAGCGAGUGGCCUUCAAAUGGGAGUCUUGAAUGGUUUAUUGCACAUCGAGGGGAAGACCUGAUGACUGCAGCCAAGAUGAACACCGCAGAGUGAUGGCAGAAGUCCUAAUUUGAGCCACAGAGUCUGCUGCAUCCAGGCAUGCUUGCAGUGCUGUUUUGGCAAUUAAUUUGCCCUCCUCCACCAUAGCAGCAAAUUCUUGUUUGCCUCAACAGGAAGCUUGUCUUUGAACUUCAGGAUAUUAUCCCAUAGGCUGAAGUCAUAUCAACCCACAGAGCCUUGCUGCUUCAUGAUCCUAAGCUGUAAACCUCCUAU